AAGACCUUGCACUUUUGGAGCGGCCGAUGUCUGAUUAGCUAGUUGGUGGGGUAAAGGCCUACCAAAGCUUCGAUCAGUAGCUGGUCUGAGAGGACGGCCAGCCACACUGGGACUGAGACACGGCCCAGACUCCUACGGGAGGCAGCGGUGGGGAAUUUUGGACAAUGGGCGCAAGCCUGAUCCAGCCAUGCCGCGUGAGUGAAGAAGGCCUUCGGGUUGUAAAGCUCUUUCAGCCGGGAAGAAAAGGCUGCGACUAAUAAUCGCAGUUCAUGACGGUACCGGAAGAAGAAGCACCGGCUAACUACGUGCCAGCAGCCGCGGUAAUACGUAGGGUGCGAGCGUUAAUCGGAAUUACUGGGCGUAAAGGGUGCGCAGGCGGUUUUGUAAGUCAGAUGUGAAAUCCCCGGGCUUAACCUGGGAACU
rnacentral:rRNA from 1 species